rnacentral:rRNA from 1 species
CCUACGGGGGGCAGCAGUGAGGAAUAUUGGUCAAUGGCCGGAAGGCUGAACCAGCCAAGCCGCGUGAGGGAGGAAGGCGCAGAGCGUCGCAGACCUCUUUUGCCGGGGGACAAAAGGCCGGACUCGUCCGGUCCUGAGGGUACCCGGAGAAAAAGCAUCGGCUAACUCCGUGCCAGCAGCCGCGGUAAUACGGAGGAUCCGAGCGUUAUCCGGAUUUAUUGGGUUUAAAGGGUGCGUAGGCGGUUUGAUAAGUUAGAGGUGAAAUGUCGGGGCUCAACCCCGAAACUGCC